ensembl:lncRNA
AUUUAGUGGGGCGCUUGAUGGGUCGUCUGAUUAAAUUUUACUUGCAAAAUUAAUUCAGAUUGUCUUGGCUGGGUGCUCCUGUCGCCCAGACAGCAGAGAGGCUGGGAAACUGUAAACUAGUGGUCAAGAGAAGAAGCUGGUGAUGGUGGGAGUGCAGCGCCAGAGGCAGGUGACUUCAUCAGCAGGAGGUACUGUUUUCUUCCACCAACGCAACCGAGCCCGCGUGAGCAGAGGGCAGGCAGCUGGGAGGGGCGCCGUGCUGAACCAAGUCUCCAUGGGAAGAGGGUUCUUUGUCCCACGGUGAUGGUCAGAAGGUGUUAGCCGAGGGCAGAGGCCAGGGAGGCAAAAUAACUUCGGAGGGCUCCUCCCAGUCCCUGAAUCCUCUGUGGUCAUAACACAUGGCCCACACUGCUACAGCCAGGAGAGAAAGAGUCAGCCCGGACUCCUGAAUGCUGUCAGCAGGCAGCUCCAAGAACACGGCCGAUGGCCUUGCAGUCGGGGUUGAUUUACACCUCAGACAGGCCACCUUGGCACAGCAGUAGUUGGAGGUCGGGCCCUCCUGAGAGCAGGCUGCUGUCUGUACCAGGCCGGCUCCAAUGAUGGAGUCAGCUCACACCAGGAAGAGGAGGUCCACUGGGAGGCGAGGUCCCCAGGACAGGGUCCCUGUGCCACCAGAGGGGAUGGAGAGUGAUGAAUGAGCAGGAAUCAGCGGCCAGUGCAGAGUGGAGAGAAAUUCACACAGGGCUGGGAACGAGACUGCCGGUCACCAUUAAUGGAGGAGCACAGAGGAGAUGAAUUACUGUAAUUAUGAACCUAUGGAGCACAGUUUUUUUUAAAGUGUCCUCCCGUGUAUGUACACAGUAGGUGAGGGGGUGGGUUUUCCUCCUAAAACAAAGCACAGGGGUUUAAGCCCCAGAUACUGAGGAUAUAUGCAGAAACCUAGUGACUUUUAAAGAGUGAGUGAACCGAAAGGAAACCAGGAAGCUCCCAAAAAAAAGCAGGCACUGGAUCCCUACCUCUUUGUGGAGUUGGCAGGAGGCACCGAACGUUUCGGGAGGCGACCAAAGAGCCAGGCUGACUGCUCGCACUUUAAUUUUAUAACCACAAGCUUCAGACAGGCACUCAGCAUCACCCUGUACUCCUCCUACAGAUCCCAGUCACUCCGGUCCUUCCAGUCCACCCACAGCAGUCUUGUUGAUCCUGCACCAGCUACCCCAGGACUCUGCUGGCAUCAUCUGCCCACUCUGCCAUGACCACCCGAGUUUAAGCCUCUCCUCCGCCCACCUGAACAGCUACAACAGCCUCUCGAGGAGUCCCCUGCUUCCACUCAUGCCACUCAAGAGUCCAUUCUCCACCGGCAGCCAGAGGCAUCUUUUCAACAUGUAAAUGAGAUCAUGUGCUCCUCAGCUCAAAAUCCUUUAAUAGCUUUUCAUUGCACUUGGAACCGAAUCCAUUGCAAGUGACAGAAAACCCAACUCAAACUGGCUUAAAUGAUAAAGACUAAAUUAUUGAUAGCAAAAUGUCUGAAGACCUCAUAUUUUCGCACCUCAAUAUCCAAGGGAGCCUUUUCUACCAUGAAGGGCCCUGAAGGCCAGGAACGGCCCUGAAUCUGACUGGCAUUCUCUGACCCUGGGCAUCUGUUCUCGUACAGGUUUCCCUGGUCUUCCCUCAUUUCAUGGCAGCUGCUUGUCCCAGAUCCUCCUCUGCACCCCAGCUCCACCGGCUGCCCACAGCCACCCUCCUCAGCCUCUGCACAUUCCAGUCCCAGGCUUCUGCUCUGAGCCCAGCAGCAUCUUGUGGCAAAUAACCUUUCCCAGGUGGCGCUAGUGGUAAAGAAUCCGACUGGCAAUUCUGGAGACAUAAGAGAUGUGGGUUCUAUCCCUGGGUCAUGAAGAUCCCUUGGAGGAGGACAUGGCAACCCACUCCAGUAUUCUUGCCUGGAGAAUCCCAUGAACAGAGGGCCCUGGAGGGCUGCAGUCCAUGGG